CUGCGGGAGUCCCCGACUCCAGGCUGAAGAAAGCGCUCUGUCUGACGCCGGUUACUUUACUCCGCGCUGUUGCUGGGCGCCGGUGACAGACUCGGCCCCCGGGGGUUUGAUGGUGAAACUGUAGAAAUUCCCGGGAGAGGUUUGUCCCAGACCCGGCCCCCGUGACGGGAGACUCAAGGAGCAGAUUGUAAAGGGAGCCGGGGUCCCGGUGCGGAGCCUGGAGUCCUUUGGCCACCGGUUGCCCUUGGCCACCCCGCACAAGGCACUGACCCCUCCACUGGGAUGGGAGUGGUUCACUGCGCUGUGUUGUUACUAAACUGG